GGCCCCAUCGUCUAAUGGUUAGGACAUCAGGUUUUCAUCCUGAAAAUAGGAGUUCGAUCCUCCUUGGGGUCACCA
rnacentral:tRNA from 1 species